UAAUUUCCUAUUAUUUGUAGAUAUUGCUGAAAAGAAAAACCUAACAUAGAAACUGUAAGCCCAAUCCAAAUCUAAACCCGAAAAGUAGAAAAAGGAUCAUAUUCAUCGUUUUCUUAUAGUUUCUCCCAUUGGCUUCUGGUUUUCCUUCUCCGUCUCCACCACCACUUAUCGUCGCCGACGUAUCAACACCGCUGCCCCCGACCACCGCCACUAUUAACAAGAUCAAGACUUUGGUUCUCAUUUUCCCUACAUCGAUUUUGGAUUUCGGAUUCAUAGGAGCUGGAAAGUUAGUGAAGGAGGACUUCUGGGUUACGCGUUUAAAUGGCGUCAUCGUCACUGAUAACCCCAGAAGAUGUGUUGGAAAUGCUGAUGAAUGAUGGCACCAUUGAUUCCCUCAGAUUGAAGAUCAUCAACCAGCUCAAAGCCAAUGAAGAACUUAAGAAUACUACUAUUAAAAUGGCAGAACAGAGUAAGGUUCUUAAUACUCCUGGUGCAGAAAAACAGACCAAAAGGGAGCUUUUUGAUGCCCUCAGACAGGAACUUGAGACUCCUGUACUUGAGAAGGCCUCUAAGUCGGUCUGGGAUCUUAUUUUAGACAAUAAUGGACUGGGAAAGGAAAUCAGUGAAACAGUUGAAAGGGUAUUUUGUCGAUUGAGUGGCCAGGAGCCUCCAUUAUUUCCUACUUCAGAUGCUGAAACUCAAACCGGUAAAGAUAUUGCAAAUGAGAAAGCGAAAGAGAGGAAUGAUGAGAGUGAAAAGGAGAAAUCAAAUUCAGCCUCAAAGAAAAGGAGUUAUAAUGAAAUAAGUACAGCAGAAGAAAAUGAUUUAACAAGCAAGCAUGAUGAUUCUUCUUCUUUAGCAGAAGAAGCUAGUAAAUCUCCACUAAAAAGUUCCAAGACAUGAACUCUUAAACAUUUGAGCUUUUUUGGCAACAUUACAUGUGUAUGAAUAGGAUUAAGUGUGGUUAUUAAAGAAAUAACUUGAAAUUGGAGGAAAAACAUUUAAUUCUUGAAGAAAUGGUGUUAAACGGGCUAAGGAAUGGAAAUUGGGCGAAACCGGUGAAAAUUUGGAAUUAGAGCCGCAGCCCUCAGAGUAACAGAGAAGAAAGAAAAAUUCAGCCAGAAUUAGUGCUGCGGCUCUACCAGAUAGAGCUGCGGUGCUACAUACUCCAGAGACAAAAUCUGGAACGUGAAGCAACCCAGAGCCAUAGCGCCAGUCCGUACAGAAGCAAAAUUUAAGGUAUUUUUCAAGGGCAAUUUUGUCCUUUCGCACAUAAUUAAUUAGGGAUUUAAUUCUUGAAGAAAUUGUGUUAAACGGGCUAAGGAAUGGAAAUUGAGCGAAACCGGGGGUCAAAUUGAUGAUUUGGUGAAAAUUUGGAACUAGAGUUGUAGCCCUCAGAGUAACAGUGAACAAAAAAAAAUUCAGCCAGAAUUAGUGCUGUGGCUCUACCAGAUAGAGCUGCAGUGCUACAUACUCCAGAGACGAAAUCUGGAACGUGAAGCAACCCAGAGCCAUAGCGCCAGUCCGUACGGAAGCAGAAUUUAAGGUAUUCACAUAGUUUAUGUGACGACAGGGGUUGGAAUCAAGGCUAUCUGUUGAUCUUGAAAUUGAGAAAACAUGUAGAAGAAAUCGAAAUAGAGAAUGUUAGAAAGAAUGGUGCAGAACAGAGGUAACGAUAGGGUUUACAACAUUGCCCAUGACAACGUUGAGAAUAUUAAUGUUGGGAUAGCAGCGCAGGCGUUGCUGAACAAGUUACACCAGUUCAGCAACCAACACAAAAAAGUUUGAGGGACUAUGUGCUACCUACUGUCACGGUGGCACAGUCAUGCAUUAGAUCUCCAGCGGUUGAGGCUAAUAAUUUUGAAAUUAAGCCUACUAUUAUGCAAUUGGUACAAUCAUCAGUUCAGUUUGGGAGAUCACCAACGGAAGAUCCGGACUUACAUUUGGCUAAUUUCCUAGAGCUCUGCGCCACAUUUAAGGUGAAUGGAGUGACAAAUGAUGUAGUGAGGAUGAGACUGUGUUAGACAAAAUUUUCAAAUUUAAUAUAUUAAAAUUAAUGUCAAACACAAUUUCACCUAUGUCAAUUUUAUAGCAU